GUGCUCGCUUCGGCAGCACAUGUAGUAAAAAUCAGAACGGUACACAGUCGAUCAGCAUGGCCCACGUGGAAGGAUGGCACACAAAUUCAUGAAGUUCCGUAUUUUGUG
ensembl:snRNA U6 U6 spliceosomal RNA